UACGUAGGGGGCAAGCGUUGUCCGGAAUCAUUGGGCGUAAAGAGCGUGUAGGCGGUUCGGGAAGUCGGCUGUGAAAGUCCAGGGCUCAACCCUGGGAUGCCGGUCGAUACUGCCGGGCUAGAGGACGGUAGAGGCGAGUGGAAUUCCCGGUGUAGCGGUGAAAUGCGCAGAUAUCGGGAGGAACACCAGUAGCGAAGGCGGCUCGCUGGGCCGUUCCUGACGCUGAGACGCGAAAGCUAGGGGAGCGAACAGG
rnacentral:rRNA from 1 species